rnacentral:rRNA from 1 species
AUUGAACGCUGGCGGCAGGCCUAACACAUGCAAGUCGAACGAGAGGCGGACGGGUGGGUAAUGUAUGGGCACCUGAGUGAUGGAGGGGGAUACCUACUGGAAACGGUAACUAAUACCGCCUACCACGAGAGGUGCCCAGAUGGGAUUAGCGAGUUGGUGGGGUAACGGCUCACCAAGGCGCCGAUCCCUAGCUGGUCUGAGAGGAUGACCAGCCACACUGGAACUGAGACACGGCCCAGACUCCUACGGGAGGCAGCAGUGGGGAAUAUUGCACAAUGGGCGCAAGCCUGAUACAGCCAUGCCGCGUGUGUGAAGAAGGCCUUCGGGUUGUAAAGUACUUUCAGCGGGGAGGCGUUACCCGCAGAAGAAGCACCGGCUAACUCCGUGCCAGCAGCCGCGGUAAUAC